rnacentral:rRNA from 1 species
GACGAACGCUGGCGGCGUGCUUAACACAUGCAAGUCGAACGGAAAGGCCCUGCUUUUGUGGGGUGCUCGAGUGGCGAACGGGUGAGUAACACGUGAGUAACCUGCCCUUGACUUUGGGAUAACUUCAGGAAACUGGGGCUAAUACCGGAUAGGAGCUCCUGCUGCAUGGUGGGGGUUGGAAAGUUUCGGCGGUUGGGGAUGGACUCGCGGCUUAUCAGCUUGUUGGUGGGGUAGUGGCUUACCAAGGCUUUGACGGGUAGCCGGCCUGAGAGGGUGACCGGCCACAAUGGGACUGGGAUACGGCCCAGACCCCUACGGGAGGCAAGAGUGGGGAAAUUUGCACAAUGGGCGGAAGCCUGGUGGAGCAACGCCGCGUGCGGGAUGACGGCCUUCGGGUUGUAAACCGCUUUCGCCUGUGACGAAGCGUGAGUGACGGUAAUGGGUAAAGAAGCACCGGCUAACUACGUG